rnacentral:lncRNA from 1 species
CUAUUAGGUGAAACUCCCUUAUACUCUAGCAUCAUAUUCAUGCAUGCAAAUUAAGUAUGCACUCUUAAUAAACAUACACGAAUAAGUUAUGAAUCAAGCAGUUAAACAAAUUGAAUUCACAACUGAAGGUAAUCAAAUCAUAUUGCAAGCAUGAACAUGGUUUCAAAUUCCCCCCCUAGCUAAGGGGGGUUUAGUUCCUCAUACUCACAAAGCAAAGAUAAACAAAUUUAGACAUUGAAAACAAAAGAAUGAAAACACCUAAAAACGAUCCAACAAUCCAACCUGAAUGCCAAGCACGUCCAAGGGUCCUCCUUCUUCUCUUUGUUGCGGCACAAGGUGUGGUUUGAUGGAUGAGUGGUAAAUUAUGAUGGUGGAUGGAUAUAGGUGAGUUAUGGUGAAGGGUGGAUGGGUGGAUUGUGUUCUCACCCAAGGAAUGAAAGUGUAAGUGUAUGAAGUUGUGAGAUGUGAAUGUAGUGUCUUUGGAUGGAUCUUUUCUCCUCCCAUGUUAU